AUUGAACGCUGGCGGCAGGCCUAACACAUGCAAGUCGAACGAGUGGCGGACGGGUGAGUAAUGUCUGGGAAACUGCCUGAUGGAGGGGGAUAACUACUGGAAACGGUAGCUAAUCCCGCAUACCAUCGGAUGUGCCCAGAUGGGAUUAGCUAGUAGGUGGGGUAACGGGUCACCUAGGCGACGAUCCCUAGCUGGUCUGAGAGGAUGACCAGACACACGGGAACUGAGACACGGUCCAGACUCCUACGGGAGGCAGCAGUGGGGAAUAUUGAACAAUGGGAGCAAGCCUGAUGCAGCCAUGCCGCGUGUAUGAAGAAGGCAUGCGGGUUGUAAAGUACUUUCAGCGGGGAGGCGUUACCCGCAGAAGAAGCACCGGCUAACUCCGUGCCAGCAGCCGCGGUAAUAC
rnacentral:rRNA from 1 species